UACGGGGGGGGCAAGCGUUGUUCGGAAUUACUGGGCGUAAAGCGCACGUAGGCGGAUUUGUAAGUCAGGGGUGAAAUCCCGGGGCUCAACCUCGGAACUGCCUUUGAUACUGCAAAUCUCGAGUCCGGAAGAGGUGAGUGGAAUUCCUAGUGUAGAGGUGAAAUUCGUAGAUAUUAGGAAGAACACCAGUGGCGAAGGCGGCUCACUGGCCCGGUACUGACGCUGAGGCGCGAAAGCGUGGGGAGCAAACAGG
rnacentral:rRNA from 1 species